rnacentral:rRNA from 1 species
GACGAACGCUGGCGGCGUGCUUAACACAUGCAAGUCGAACGGAAAGGCCCUGCGUUUGUGGGGUGCUCGUGUGGCGAACGGGUGAGUAACACGUGAGUAACCCGCCCUUGACUUUGGGAUAACUUCAGGAAACUGGGGCUAAUACCGGAUAGGAGCUUCUGCUGCACGGUGGUGGUUGGAAAGUUUCGGCGGUUGGGGAUGGACUCGCGGCGUAUCAGCUUGUUGGUGGAGUAGUGGCUUACCAAGGCUUUGACGGGUAGCCGGCCUGAGAGGGUGACCGGCCACAUUGGGACUGAGAUAAGGCACAGACUCCUACGGGAGGGAGAAGGGGGGAAGAUUGCAGGAUGGGCGGAAGCCUGAUGCAGCAACGCCGCGUGCGGGAUAACGGCCUUCGGGUUGAAGACCGCUUGCGCCUGUGACGAAGCGUGAGUGACGGGAAUGGGUAAAGAAGCACCGGCUAACUACGUG